rnacentral:rRNA from 1 species
CGCGUAGGUGGUAGUGUAAGUCUGGGGUGGAAUCCCAGGGCUCAACCCUGGAACUGCCUUGGAAACUGCAUUACUUGAGUCAGUGAGGGGAGGGUAGAAUUCCUGGUGUAGCGGUGAAAUGCGUAGAUAUCAGGAGGAAGGCCUGUGGCGAAGGCGGCCCUCUGGCGCUGGACUGACACUGAGGCGCGAAAGCGUGGGGAGCAAACAGGAUUAGACACCCUGGUAGUCCACGCCCUAAACGGUGGGCACUAGGUGUAGGGCUCGUAAGGGUUCUGUGCCGAAGGGAAACCAUUAAGUGCCCCGCCUGGGGAGUACGGCCGCAAGGUUGAA